AUGAUCCGAUCCCAAAGCAACCACAUGGCCGGAGGCGAGGGUGCGCCCUGCCGGCCACGCCACGCACCGCACCAAACGCCCACGAACUCCUCACCGAGCCGCCCCGGCAAUCACCUCGCACCGCACGCGGCCCCGCCCACCCCGACGACGCCCCUGUUCCCUCCCUCGCGCCUCCGCCUCCGGGCGACGCCGCCGUCCGGCCACCACAAGCUCCACCGGAAAAACUCCUUUCCGGUUUUCCACGCGUCCUCUCUUUUCGCGCCUCGCCCGGCCUCCUCCCUUUCGAGCCAGUUUAAAAGCCACCCACCCACGCACCAGACCACACCACACCACCCACCCGGCUGCCACUGCCACCACCCUCCCCAGUCGCCGCACAGGGCACGGCCCGCACGCACGCUCCCCUCAGCUCACGCUCUCGCAGCUCUCAAAAUGCAGAUCCUCCGGCUCCUAGCGGCGCGGCGCGCGGCGUCCAACGUCACCUCCGCGGCGCCCGAGCGCCGGGACGGGGAGGUUGACGACGAGGGGCCAUUCUUCGACCUGGACUUCGCCUCAUGCUCCCUCCGCGACUCCUCCUUCAGCUCCAGCUCCGGCGCGCUCUCGGGCUCCGACUCCGACUCCGAUGAGGAGCUCGACUUCGUCAUCUCACUUCAAAGGAGCCGCUCCGCCUCCUCGCCGCUCAAGUUCUGCGCCUCGGAGCCGCCGUCCAAGGCCAAGGCCGCCGGCCGCAAGCGCGGCCUCGGCAGCCUGCGCACGCUCAGCUUCGGUGCCAGGAAGGCCGCGCCGCUCUACGGCGUUGGCCGCAGCAGCUCCGCCAGCGCGCGGUCGCUCCGGCUCUUCAUGGCGACGCCCCACCCCGAGGAGGACGAGCACGAGCGCGCGUCCGAGCCCGCCGGGAGCAGGCGCGUGCCGUCCCGGGACUUGAUCAGGAGGUGCCUGGCCAGGAUCUCGCGGCGGCUCCGCGCAGCCGCGAGCCCGCGCGCCGCGGCCGCCGAGUUGAGGGGCCUCCGUCGCUUGCGCAAGUGCCGGUCGGCGUCCUCCGCUGUGGCCAGCUCCGCGCCGCGCCGCGACGACGACUCGGCGGUCGAGAAGCAGGACGGCAUCGCCGGCGCCAUCGCGCACUGCAAGGAGUCCAUCCACCGGGCCUCCAUGUCCGACUGCGACUCGCCGCUCCUGCGGUCUCGGAGCGACCCGGGGAAAUGCGACGCCGCGUAG
rnacentral:rRNA from 1 species